rnacentral:ncRNA from 1 species
UAAGUAGCUAAGAAAGAAUGAAGUAGUUUUACAAAUCCCUAUCAAAGAGAGCUAGUGGUCGGUGGAAACUAGUAUACAUUUGUAACAUGAAUUACGUUCUGGAGCAAUUUCUUCUCUUAUGAAGGAAACGGUGGAAACAUCGAUAACAAUACCGAGUGGCACAACUGUGCAACAAGGGUGGUAACGCGUGUUUAAUAACUCGUCCCUUUU